rnacentral:tRNA from 1 species
GCGGGUGUAGUAUAAGGGCUAUUAUAUCUCCCUUCCAAGGAGAAGAUGGCGGUUCGAAUCCGCUCACCCGCU